rnacentral:lncRNA from 1 species
CUGAAAGCAGAGCAUUAAUUAUUUUAUUAAUUUCUUCUUUUUACAUUAUGGGAAACAUUCAUCUAUUUACAAUUAUUGUUUUGUCCACACACAAUCUAGGUAAAUAAGCCUAUGAAAUUCCAAUUCAUAAAGCCAUAAAAAUGUUCCCCACCCCUCCAUCUGAAGGCUUUCAAAUGAAUCUUGUUUUUCCAAACCAAAAUAAUUUUUAAAAAUUACAUUUGGGAAUUCAGAUAUGCUAGUGAUUUACACUCCAGUUAUUUAAAAUAUGCAUCUAGACAUGUUUUAAAAAAGAAAUGGUAAAUUCACAAGGAUAAGGCUUAAAUUAAAGUGGUAAUGCACAGUAAAACAUUAAGGAAACAUCUAUAAAUAACAGAAAUAUAUUACAAAUAAAUUAGUUCUAUUUACCAUUUCAAAUAUUAAAAAUCUUUAAUCCAUUUCUUCAUCUCUCUUUACAAAAAGGUUAUGUGAAUUGUAUGGAAACAUCUGCAAAAAAUAUAAUAAAUACUUAACUUCUUUGAACGUUUUUUGAUGUGGGAGACAAACUUCUUUUGUAAUCCCCCCCCCAAGAAAAUGCCUUUAUACCAAAGUUAAACAAAAUAAGUAAUUUUUCAGGGUACAUACAUUUUCCAUUAUGAACUAAAAAACAUUUCUACAAAUUACAUCAAAAAGAACAAUGUAACAAAGGUUAUGCUCAUGGAUGUCAGUUUAAGGGGGCAAGUGGUUAACAAGCAGCUUUAUGAGGGGUCAUGUUUUAACAUCAAUAAUUAGCUUUUUAUAAAGUGUUUGUACAAUUUGUGUUUUUAAGGAAGGCAAAGGUCACGAUGCCUGUAGGCAUUCAGCUAAAAGAUUUAAAAUUCUUACCAAAAAUAGCUUAUGAAUAUACAAAUACCAUUCACAUAGACAAGAUAAAUAGGCCUUUUCUUGUCUCUCUUUAAAAUAUCCUGGGCUAAACCAGUUUCCAAAGAAAAUAUCAUAGGAUGAUCUUGAAUUGUAUUAGAAAUCUAUUUCUUAAUCCAAAUCUUAUCUCUACCUCAGGGCACAGAGCUGUAGUUGGGAACACGGGUCUUCAAAUGGAUGCUGCUUCCUUUACAUUAAUCUGGGAGUUCCAAGUCAUUUUCAGGAUGGAAUGGACCAUAGGCUACCCAAAGUGGCAGUUGGCCUUACUUGACUCAAACUUUGUAUGACCUUCCAUUGUUGCUACAAAGUAAAGGAAAGGUGUAUUCUUCUUAAAAUCAGCAAUAUUGGAAGCUCAAAAUCUCCAUAUGCUCCAAUUUUACAAAGCACCCAAGGUGCUCUGUACACCCUAGUUAAAAGUUGGUUGGUUGGUUUUUAAAUGAGUUAGUAGCCCUUUUCUGGUAAACCACAGCAGUAAACAUUUGUGCCCUGUUUAUAAAGAUAGCUCAAAGCAUCAAUGGCUCUGAGAGGUAGCGAAUUCUCUAGUGGUUUUAGAAUAUGUCCAUGAAAAUAUUGUUGCCAGAACCCAUCACCUCUCUUAAUUUCAUAAAUAAAAUUAAAUUAGCACCUGGCUAUGAGAGUGUAUUUUUUAAAAAGUUUCUCUGGUGCAAGCAUAUUUGAUGUAUGCUUUUAAAAGUCUUUCAUUUUUUAAUGGUAAUUUCUAAUGCUUUAGGGUGGGAGCAGGACAUAAAAUGCCAGUGAUACUUUAAGAUCACCACAUUCUAAAUGUUUAAACUGCUAAGAGUAAGGGCAUUUAAAGAUAACUUCAGCUAGAUGCAAAGUGCAUACUGCCCAUCCAUCACAGCUCAAAAUGGAAAGCAACAUUCUCUGCCAAAAGCCUGGGUUUCUUUCAGUGUUUAUGAAUCAUGACUUUCCCCCCCCCCUUGGAUGCUGAACCUCGUGGAUUGCAGAUCAAAUUUCUUCUCUCACUACCUGGGACCUCAAGAUGAGUGGCAGCUCUUUGCAACGAGGCAGCAUGUCUAUUGGGAUAGGAAACUUAUUUGAUCGGUUUGACAUAAGACAAAAACCCUUAUGCUGGGGAAUGAUAGGACUCGGUGCAGUCGAGAGAAGACUAAAGGAGAAAAUAUGUCUGCAGUGUCAACUACUGGGUUAAAACAGACAAAUGUGUAGCAUUCAAAAGGAUGAUAGGAAAAUCCAAACUUUUCUCUGACAACAGUCUGGCUGCCAUUUACAGCACUUCACAAGCAGAUGUGUACUUAUAUAUGUGUAAUUAGGUAGGCCCCCCAGGAUGGACACUAACAAAUGAACAGAACCAACAGUUUCCCCUUUAAAGACCCCCACCACCACCACAAUAUAAUAUACAUAGUACAAGAAAAGUUGAUAAAACAUUUCAGGUCUAAAUUUUCUUAAUAAUAGGACAAAAAAAAAAUCUCUUUUGUAAAAGUAUCUUAAACUAUCAGCGCUUCCUUUGCCUGGCCUUUCUUCACGUUAUUGCCUUUCAGAAUAGAUUAAUUUCCCUGAAAGAUCGAAUUUACAAUCUUCUGCUGAUUGAGACAUCUGAAGCAGGCAUUGAUGAGACAACAGUGAGGCAGUUUGUGCAGCUGUGAGUGGAGCAGGUACCCCAGCACCCGCAGAUUUCCCUUCCCCCGUUCCCACUACACAUCCAGGUCCCCCACCGCCAGCCCAUCUCCGAUCCCUCUCGGUUUGUCACUCACUGAUUCCGAGAGAUCGCGUGAUUUCUGAGGUUGGAAAUAAAGUGCUCCAUCUGCUUUACAAAAUAAUAACCGUUUAGGGGAAAUAAAGGGACUCGGAGCCCUAGUUUCUUUCACGUGGAAGACGGUUAAGUCCCAAAGGAUCACCCUGUGAUAGUGGAUUUCUGAAAUACUCUAUGGUUUGAUAUUGCUGAGCUCUAGGGACAGACUAGCUGGAGAGAACUGAGGAUGGUGGGGGACCUAACAGGGCCAUUUCUACACAGGUGGGCUUGGUUUUGCCACGAAAAGAAAGGGUUGGCUAUCCGGAUGAGGCAGGGUGACGCAUCAGUACAGGUGGCGAAGCUCGGUGAAGAACAUGGGCAAACGGGUCCGGGCAGCAGAGGUUACUGGGGGACGGCUCCUGCAAGAUCGACAACUACACCGCGACAGUGGAAGUCACUGAGCUCAGAAACAGACGGGCUCGGAGGGCGAGGGGGGGAGGGAGGAGGAGGAGGGGAGGACAGAUACUUGGUGGCGACGCCGCGGGCUGCGCGCGGCGCGGCCCGGCGCCUCAGAGCCGGGUCUGCGCCUCGGGGAUGUAGAUCUCGAUGCUCUCGGCGCUCUCGGUGGCCGAGUUCUGGCGGACGGACGCGGCGCGCUUGGCGGCCAUCAGGCGCUUGCGGGCCUCCUGGCGCUGCGAGCUCUCCAGCGAGCGCUCCCGGAUCAGCGGCGCGGGGCCCUUCGCCGGCUUCUUUGGCACUGGAGGAGGGGCCCUUCUCUCCU